UCCGUGUUAACCACGGCAGUCUCCUUAGAGAGCCCAACUUAAUGAUGGCAACUAAGGACAAGGGUUGCGCUCGUUGCGGGACUUAACCCAACAUGUCACCACACGAGCUGACGACAGCCAUGCAGCACCUGUCUCUUGGUCGUAUUGCUACGAAAGCUCUAUCUCUAGAGUUGUCCAAGGAUGUCAAACCCAGGUAAGGUUCUUCGCGUUGCUUCGAAUUAAACCACAUGAUCCACUGCUUGUGCGGGCCCCCGUCAAUUCCUUUGAGUUUUAGUCUUGCGACCGUACUUCCCAGGCGGGGUACUUAUUGCGUUAGCGCCGGUUCGGCGGGGGUCAAGACCCACCAAACCUAGUACCCAUCGUUUACAGCGUGGACUAC
rnacentral:misc_RNA from 1 species